rnacentral:rRNA from 1 species
AACGAACGCUGGCGGCAGGCUUAACACAUGCAAGUCGAGCGCCCCGCAAGGGGAGCGGCAGACGGGUGAGUAACGCGUGGGAAUCUACCCAUCUCUACGGAAUAACGCAUGGAAACGUGUGCUAAUACCGUAUACGUCCUUCGGGAGAAAGAUUUAUCGGAGAUGGAUGAGCCCGCGUUGGAUUAGCUAGUUGGUGGGGUAAAGGCCUACCAAGGCGACGAUACAUAGCUGGUCGGAGAGGAUGAUCAGCCACACUGGGGCUGAGACACGGCCCAGACUCCUACGGGAGGUAGCAGUGGGGAAUAUUGGACAAUGGGGGCAAGCCUGAUCCAGCCAUGCCGCGUGAGUGAUGAAGGCCCUAGGGUUGUAAAGCUCUUUCACCGGUGAAGAUAAUGACGGUAACCGGAGAAGAAGCCCCGGCUAACUUCGUGCCAGCCGCCGCCGUAAGAC